GACGAACGCUGGCGGCGUGCUUAACACAUGCAAGUCGAACGGAAAGGCCCUGCUUUUGUGGGGUGCUCGAGUGGCGAACGGGUGAGUAACACGUGAGUAACCUGCCCUUGACUUUGGGAUAACUUCAGGAAACUGGGGCUAAUACCGGAUAGGAGCUCCUGCUGCAUGGUGGGGGUUGGAAAGUUUCGGCGGUUGGGGAUGGACUCGCGGCUUAUCAGCUUGUUGGUGGGGUAGUGGCUUACCAAGGCUUUGACGGGUAGCCGGCCUGAGAGGGUGACCGGCCACAUUGGGACUGAGAUACGGCCCAGACUCCUACGGGAGGCAGCAGUGGGGAAUAUUGCACAAUGGGCGGAAGCCCUGAUGCAGCAACGCCGCGUGCGGGA
rnacentral:rRNA from 1 species